ACACGUCUACAUUAGAUACCCCCGUAGUCCCAGCCGUAAACUAUGCGCGUUAGGUGUAUCGGUGACCACGAGUCACCGAGGUGCCGAAGGGAAACCGUGAAACGUGCCGCCUGGGAAGUACGGUCGCAAGGCUGAAACUUAAAGGAAUUGGCGGGGAGCACAACAACGGGUGGAGCCUGCGGUUUAAUUGGACUCAACGCCGGGAAGCUCACCGGAUAAGACAGCGGAAUGAUUGCCGGGCUGAAGACUCUGCAUGACUAGCUG
rnacentral:rRNA from 1 species